UACGUAGGGGGCUAGCGUUGUCCGGAAUCAUUGGGCGUAAAGAGCGUGUAGGCUGCUCGGUAAGUCCGCUGUAAAAGUCAAAGGCUCAACCUUUGAAAGCCGGUGGAUACUGCAUGGCUAGAGUACGGAAGAGGCGAGUGGAAUUCCUGGUGUAGCGGUGAAAUGCGCAGAUAUCAGGAGGAACACCGGUGGCGAAGGCGGGUCUCUGGGCCGUAACUGACGCUGAGGAGCGAAAGCGUGGGGAGCGAACAGG
rnacentral:rRNA from 1 species